ACCCAGGAAAAAAUGGCUGCUCGUCCUAUUUCAGCUUCAACGCGGUGUUGCCAGCUCCCGGGACAAAGUUGAGAAAGGAUCUGGAGAAGUCUCCCGCUUGGGCGGUAUUCAAUCAAUAAACCCCGAACCCACGGCAGCGCGUUUUAGGACUUUGAAGGCUCAACCAGCUCCGCUCGGUUCUCGAGCCCCCAGCACCCGCAGCGCACACUAACCUGAUCGCCGCGGAGGCGGGUUCUGCAGGCCCCCCCUCGGCGGAGCGACGGAGGCCCUGACCAAUCGUUAUGUAGGGCCUCCCGGCGGCAGCCAAUGAAGAUGCUGGCGGUGGAGACCGAGACCAAUAGGAGGGCUGCGGGGCGGGCCGGGGGGCACAGCUCUCGGGUUGUGGAGCCGAAGACGGACCCCUUAGAUUUCGGGGCGGCUGGGAAGAGCUGCGGCCGUUCGGCGGCAAAGUAGGGGCGGAAAAAAAGGUGAAGGCGCCUCGAGGUGCCAAACCGCCAUGACUAGCAGCCGCCGCCUCGGUGUUAUUCCCGGGGGUGGGGCCGCAGAUAUUAAAGCAUGAUUUGAAUGAAUGGAAGUGCCUCAUAAAGAACUUAACACUUCAGCAAAACAGUGAUGCAGAAAGAGAACAACACUGAUGUGUAUCACAUGAUGGGGCUAGGAUCUGCUGGAACCUGGAUUGUCUUUGCCUUGUUUAUUUUGUGAUUAUUAGAUUGUUUAAAUUUAAACACAGACAUUGGCCUUUUCCUUCCCUUUCCAUAUUACUGUGUAAACAUAAGACUAAUAAUUCAUUUUCAUUUAACUUAAUAAUAAUCUACCCAUUUCAUAUUUUAUAAACAGUCACCAUUUCAUUUGCACUAAUGGCAAUAAAUUUUUCUUUCCAUUUU